ACCGAGAUUCCCCCAGUAGCGGCGAGCGAACGGGGAGCAGCCCAGAGCCUGAAUCAGUGUGUGUGUUAGUGGAAGCGUCUGGAAAGGCGCGCGAUACAGGGUGACAGCCCCGUACACAAAAAUGCACAUACUGUGAGCUCGAUGAGUAGGGCGGGACACGUGGUAUCCUGUCUGAAUAUGGGGGGACCAUCCUCCAAGGCUAAAUACUCCUGACUGACCGAUAGUGAACCAGUACCGUGAGGGAAAGGCGAAAAGAACCCCGGCGAGGGGAGUGAAAAAGAACCUGAAACCGUGUACGUACAAGCAGUGGGAGCACGCUUAGGCGUGUGACUGCGUACCUUUUGUAUAAUGGGUCAGCGACUUAUAUUCUGUAGCAAGGUUAACCGAAUAGGGGAGCCGAAGGGAAACCGAGUCUUAACUGGGCGUUAAGUUGCAGGGUAUAGACCCGAAACCCGGUGAUCUAGCCAUGGGCAGGUUGAAGGUUGGGUAACACUAACUGGAGGACCGAACCGACUAAUGUUGAAAAAUUAGCGGAUGACUUGUGGCUGGGGGUGAAAGGCCAAUCAAACCGGGAGAUAGCUGGUUCUCCCCGAAAGCUAUUUAGGUAGCGCCUCGUGAAUUCAUCUCCGGGGGUAGAGCACUGUUUCGGCAAGGGGGUCAUCCCGACUUACCAACCCGAUGCAAACUGCGAAUACCGGAGAAUGUUAUCACGGGAGACACACGGCGGGUGCUAACGUCCGUCGUGAAGAGGGAAACAACCCAGACCGCCAGCUAAGGUCCCAAAGUCAUGGUUAAGUGGGAAACGAUGUGGGAAGGCCCAGACAGCCAGGAUGUUGGCUUAGAAGCAGCCAUCAUUUAAAGAAAGCGUAAUAGCUCACUGGUCGAGUCGGCCUGCGCGGAAGAUGUAACGGGGCUAAACCAUGCACCGAAGCUGCGGCAGCGACGCUGAUGCGUUGUUGGGUAGGGGAGCGUUCUGUAAGCCUGUGAAGGUGUGCUGUGAGGCAUGCUGGAGGUAUCAGAAGUGCGAAUGCUGACAUAAGUAACGAUAAAGCGGGUGAAAAGCCCGCUCGCCGGAAGACCAAGGGUUCCUGUCCAACGUUAAUCGGGGCAGGGUGAGUCGACCCCUAAGGCGAGGCCGAAAGGCGUAGUCGAUGGGAAACAGGUUAAUAUUCCUGUACUUGGUGUUACUGCGAAGGGGGGACGGAGAAGGCUAUGUUGGCCGGGCGACGGUUGUCCCGGUUUAAGCGUGUAGGCUGGUUUUCCAGGCAAA
rnacentral:rRNA from 1 species